rnacentral:rRNA from 1 species
AGUUGCAGGGUAUAGACCCGAAACCCGGUGAUCUAUCCAUGGGCAGGUUGAAGGUUGGGUAACACUAACUGGAGGACCGAACCGACUAAUGUUGAAAAAUUAGCGGAUGACUUGUGGAUGGGGGUGAAAGGCCAAUCAAACCGGGAGAUAGCUGGUUCUCCCCGAAAGCUAUUUAGGUAGCGCCUCGUGAACUCAUCUUCGGGGGUAGAGCACUGUUUCGACUAGGGGGUCAUCCCGACUUACCAACUCGAUGCAAACUGCGAAUACCGAAGAAUGUUAUCACGGGAGACACACGGCGGGUGCUAACGUCCGUCGUGAAGAGGGAAACAACCCAGACCGCCAGCUAAGGUCCCAAAGUCAUGGUUAAGUGGGAAACGAAGUGGGAAGGCUCAGACAGCCAGGAUGUUGGCUUAGAAGCAGCCAUCAUUUAAAGAAAGCGUAAUAGCUCACUGGUCGAGUCGGCCCGCGCGGAAGAUGUAACGGGGCUAAACCAUGCACCGAAGCUGCGGCAGCGAACGUAUCACUUAAAUUUGUUUGAGUGAAUAACGAUUGACGGAACGAAGUGACGUCAAUGCGUUAAUGAAAGUCGAGGCGAAAGCACGACAAAGCGAAUUUAAGGAUACGUUCGUUGGGUAGGGGAGCGUUCUGUAAGCCUGCGAAGGUGUACUGUGAGGUAUGCUGGAGGUAUCAGAAGUGCGAAUGCUGACAUAAGUAACGAUAAUGCGGGUGAAAAACCCGCACGCCGGAAGACCAAGGGUUCCUGUCCAACGUUAAUCGGGGCAGGGUGAGUCGACCCCUAAGGCGAGGCUGAAAAGCGUAGUCGAUGGGAAACGGGUUAAUAUUCCCGUACUGGUGGUAACUGCGAUGGGGGAACGGAGAAGGCUAGGUUGUCCGGGCGACGGUCGUCCCGGUUCAAGCAGGUAGGCAGAGUGAUUAGGCAAAUCCGGUCACUUAAUGCUGAGAUGUGAUGACGAACCACCAAGGUGGUGAAGCAAUUGAUGCCCCGCUUCCAGGAAAAGCCUCUAAGCUUCAGGUUACCAACAAUCGUACCCCAAACCGACACAGGUGGUCAGGUAGAGAAUACUCAGGCGCUUGAGAGAACUCGGGUGAAGGAACUAGGCAAAAUGGUGCCGUAACUUCGGGAGAAGGCACGCUGGCGGUAGGUAAAGUCCCUCGCGGACAGAGCUGAAGCCAGUCGAAGAUACCAGCUGGCUGCAACUGUUUAUUAAAAACACAGCACUGUGCAAACACGAAAGUGGACGUAUACGGUGUGACGCCUGCCCGGUGCUGGAAGGUUAAUUGAUGGGGUUAGCGCAAGCGAAGCUCCUGAUCGAAGCCCCAGUAAACGGCGGCCGUAACUAUAACGGUCCUAAGGUAGCGAAAUUCCUUGUCGGGUAAGUUCCGACCUGCACGAAUGGCGUAAUGAUGGCCAGGCUGUCUCCACCCGAGACUCAGUGAAAUUGAACUCGCUGUGAAGAUGCAGUGUACCCGCGGCAAGACGGAAAGACCCCGUGAACCUUUACUAUAGCUUGACACUGAACAUUGAGCCUUGAUGUGUAGGAUAGGUGGGAGGCUUUGAAGUGUGGACGCCAGUCUGCAUGGAGCCAACCUUGAAAUACCACCCUUUAACGUUUGAUGUUCUAACCUAGGCCCGUGAUCCGGGUCGGGGACCGUGUCUGGUGGGUAGUUUGACUGGGGCGGUCUCCUCCUAAAGAGUAACGGAGGAGCACGAAGGUUGGCUAAGCAUGGUCGGACAUCAUGCGGUUAGUGCAAAGGCAUAAGCCAGCUUGACUGCGAGAGUGACGGCUCGAGCAGGUACGAAAGUAGGUCUUAGUGAUCCGGUGGUUCUGAAUGGAAGGGCCAUCGCUCAACGGAUAAAAGGUACUCCGGGGAUAACAGGCUGAUACCGCCCAAGAGUUCAUAUCGACGGCGGUGUUUGGCACCUCGAUGUCGGCUCAUCACAUCCUGGGGCUGAAGUAGGUCCCAAGGGUAUGGCUGUUCGCCAUUUAAAGUGGUACGCGAGCUGGGUUUAGAACGUCGUGAGACAGUUCGGUCCCUAUCUGCCGUGGGCGUUGGAAGAUUGAGAGGGGUUGCUCCUAGUACGAGAGGACCGGAGUGAACGCACCACUGGUGUUCGGGUUGUCAUGCCAAUGGCAUUGCCCGGUAGCUAAGUGCGGAAGAGAUAACCGCUGAAAGCAUCUAAGCGGGAAACUUGCCUCGAGAUGAGUCUUCCCUGUCGCUUAAAGCGACCUAAAGGAACGUUUAAGACGAAGACGUUGAUAGGCUGGAUGUGUAAGCGUAGCGAUACGUUGAGCUAACCAGUACUAAUGAACCGUGAGGCUUAACCUG